GAGUCCCCCACGCUCUCUACCGAGCUCUCCACGCCGAUCCCCUUCGCCGCCGCUCGCCGGCGAUCUCCAGCCGCCCGCCACCGCCGCUCCCGUCGCUGCCGCGCUGCGCCGCCGCCACCAAUAGCAUCACAGCGCCUCGCCGCACCCCGGCAUCCACUCCAUCUCCCUCCUCCACCGCCGGAACCACCUUCCCAUCACGAGGCCGAGCCACUACCGCCACACACCGCCUUCAGCCGGCCGCUGCCGCCGCGUUAGUCGUCGCCGCACCUCGCCGCUUGCGCCGUCGGCAACGCCGUGCCAAGAUCUACCCCGGCCUCCGCUCCGUUUCCCCAUUCCACCACCGCAACCACCCUUCCACCGUGCAUCCCGAGCCACCUCCACCAUACGCCGCCUCCAGCCGUGUGCCACCGUCGCCUUAGCCGCCGCCGCGUCGCUCCGUCUUCACCUCUCGCCUUGCAGCGCCGUGCAGCACCUCGGUCACCAUUGUUCAUCGCCGGAAACCCACCGGAACGUGGUAUCUCUCGGUCGCCGGUCUUGCUGGCCCUCGGCCGCGGCUCCGCCAUGGUCGGGCGUCGUCGGAACGCCGUUCCCGUCGCCUCCCGUGCCGGCCGCCGCCAUCCUUUCCGCCGCCGGUCGCCUCCCCAUGGUCGUCCCGUCGCCGGCGCUCCUCGCGUGUAGUUUCCGUCGUUUCGGAAGUCCGCGGUCGCGAGGAAAAG